AUUGAACGCUGGCGGCAGGCUUAACACAUGCAAGUCGAGCGGGGUGAUGGUGCUUGCACUAUCACUUAGCGGCGGACGGGUGAGUAAUGCUUAGGAAUCUGCCUAUUAGUGGGGGACAACAUCUCGAAAGGGAUGCUAAUACCGCAUACGUCCUACGGGAGAAAGCAGGGGAUCACUUGUGACCUUGCGCUAAUAGAUGAGCCUAAGUCGGAUUAGCUAGUUGGUGGGGUAAAGGCCUACCAAGGCGACGAUCUGUAGCGGGUCUGAGAGGAUGAGCCGCCACACUGGGACUGAGACACGGCCCAGACUCCUACGGGAGGCAGCAGUGGGGAAUAUUGGACAAUGGGGGGAACCCUGAUCCAGCCAUGCCGUGUGUGUGAAGAAGGCCUUAUGGUUGUAAAGCACUUUAAGCGAGGAGGAGGCUCUUUUAGUUAAUACCCAAGAUGAGUGGACGUUACUCGCAGAAUAAGCACCGGCUAACUCUGUGCCAGCCGCCGCAGUAA
rnacentral:rRNA from 1 species